rnacentral:rRNA from 1 species
AGAGUUUGAUCAUGGCUCAGAUUGAACGCUGGCGGCAGGCCUAACACAUGCAAGUCGAACGGUAACAGGAAGCAGCUUGCUGCUUCGCUGACGAGUGGCGGACGGGUGAGUAAUGUCUGGGAAGCUGCCUGAUGGAGGGGGAUAACUACUGGAAACGGUAGCUAAUACCGCAUAAUGUCGCAAGACCAAAGAGGGGGACCUUCGGGCCUCUUGCCAUCGGAUGUGCCCAGAUGGGAUUAGCUUGUUGGUGGGGUAACGGCUCACCAAGGCGACGAUCCCUAGCUGGUCUGAGAGGAUGACCAGCCACACUGGAACUGAGACACGGUCCAGACUCCUACGGGAGGCAGCAGUGGGGAAUAUUGCACAAUGGGCGCAAGCCUGAUGCAGCCAUGCCGCGUGUAUGAAGAAGGCCUUCGGGUUGUAAAGUACUUUCAGCGGGGAGGAAGGGAGUAAAGUUAAUACCUUUGCUCAUUGACGUUACCCGCAGAAGAAGCACCGGCUAACUCCGUGCCAGCAGCCGCGGUAAUACGGAGGGUGCAAGCGUUAAUCGGAAUUACUGGGCGUAAAGCGCACGCAGGCGGUUUGUUAAGUCAGAUGUGAAAUCCCCGGGCUCAACCUGGGAACUGCAUCUGAUACUGGCAAGCUUGAGUCUCGUAGAGGGGGGUAGAAUUCCAGGUGUAGCGGUGAAAUGCGUAGAGAUCUGGAGGAAUACCGGUGGCGAAGGCGGCCCCCUGGACGAAGACUGACGCUCAGGUGCGAAAGCGUGGGGAGCAAACAGGAUUAGAUACCCUGGUAGUCCACGCCGUAAACGAUGUCGACUUGGAGGUUGUGCCCUUGAGGCGUGGCUUCCGGAGCUAACGCGUUAAGUCGACCGCCUGGGGAGUACGGCCGCAAGGUUAAAACUCAAAUGAAUUGACGGGGGCCCGCACAAGCGGUGGAGCAUGUGGUUUAAUUCGAUGCAACGCGAAGAACCUUACCUGGUCUUGACAUCCACGGAAGUUCAGAGAUGAGAAUGUGCCUUCGGGAACCGUGAGACAGGUGCUGCAUGGCUGUCGUCAGCUCGUGUUGUGAAAUGUUGGGUUAAGUCCCGCAACGAGCGCAACCCUUAUCCUUUGUUGCCAGCGGUCCGGCCGGGAACUCAAAGGAGACUGCCAGUGAUAAACUGGAGGAAGGUGGGGAUGACGUCAAGUCAUCAUGGCCCUUACGACCAGGGCUACACACGUGCUACAAUGGCGCAUACAAAGAGAAGCGACCUCGCGAGAGCAAGCGGACCUCAUAAAGUGCGUCGUAGUCCGGAUUGGAGUCUGCAACUCGACUCCAUGAAGUCGGAAUCGCUAGUAAUCGUGGAUCAGAAUGCCACGGUGAAUACGUUCCCGGGCCUUGUACACACCGCCCGUCACACCAUGGGAGUGGGUUGCAAAAGAAGUAGGUAGCUUAACCUUCGGGAGGGCGCUUACCACUUUGUGAUUCAUGACUGGGGUGAAGUCGGAACAAGGUA